AUACGUAGGGGGCGAGCGUUGUCCGGAAUGAUUGGGCGUAAAGGGCGCGUAGGCGGCCUGUUAAGUCUGGAGUGAAAGUCCUGUUUUCAAGAUGGGAAUUGCUUUGGAUACUGAUGGGCUUGAGUGCGGGAGAGGUUAUCGGAAUUCCCGGUGUAGCGGUGAAAUGCGUAGAGAUCGGGAGGAACACCAGUGGCGAAGGCGGGUAACUGGACUGCAACUGACGCUGAGGCGCGAAAGUGUGGGGAGCAAACAGGAUUAGAUACCCUGGUAGUCCACACUGUAAACGAUGAAUGCUAGGUGUAAGAGGUAUCGACCCCUUUUGUGCCGGAGUUAACACAAUAAGCAUUCCGCCUGGGGAGUACGGCCGCAAGGUUGAAACUCAAAUGAAUUGACGGGG
rnacentral:rRNA from 1 species